GAGAGUGGCGGAACUGGCAGACGCGCCAGACUUAGGAUCUGGUGGGUACUCCCGUGGGGGUUCGAGUCCCCCCUCUCGCA
rnacentral:tRNA from 1 species